rnacentral:rRNA from 1 species
UUCCCCGGGCUUAACUUGGGGAACUGCAUUUGUAACUGGCAGGGCUUGAGUCUUGUAGAGGGGGGGUAGAAUUCCAGGUGUAGCGGUGAAAUGCGUAGAGAUCUGGAGGAAAUACCGGUGGCGAAGGCGGCCCCCUGGACAAAGACUGACGCUCAGGUGCGAAAGCGUGGGGAGCAAACAGGAUUUAGAUACCCUGGUAGUCCACGCCGUAAACGAUGUCGACUUGGAGGUUGUUCCCUUGAGGAGUGGCUUCCGGAGCUAACGCGUUAAGUCGACCGCCUGGGGAGUACGGCCGCAAGGUUAAAACUCAAAUGAAUUGACGGGGGCCCGCACAAGCGGUGGAGCAUGUGGUUUAAUUCGAUGCAACGCGAAGAACCUUACCUACUCUUGACAUCCACGGAAUUUAGCAGAGAUGCUUUAGUGCCUUCGGGAACCGUGAGACAGGUGCUGCAUGGCUGUCGUCAGCUCGUGUUGUGAAAUGUUGGGUUAAGUCCCGCAACGAGCGCAACCCUUAUCCUUUGUUGCCAGCGAUUCGGUCGGGAACUCAAAGGAGACUGCCGGUGAUAAACCGGAGGAAGGUGGGGAUGACGUCAAGUCAUCAUGGCCCUUACGAGUAGGGCUACACACGUGCUACAAUGGCGCAUACAAAGAGAAGCGACCUCGCGAGAGCAAGCGGACCUCACAAAGUGCGUCGUAGUCCGGAUCGGAGUCUGCAACUCGACUCCGUGAAGUCGGAAUCGCUAGUAAUCGUGGAUCAGAAUGCCACGGUGAAUACGUUCCCGGGCCUUGUACACACCGCCCGUCACACCAUGGGAGUGGGUUGCAAAAGAAGUAGGUAGCAUAACCUUCGGGAGGGCAAAUUACCAAAAAAAGUUUAAAGACUGGUGAG